GGUAUUUCAGCCUACACAGACUGUUAAUGAGUUACAGAAGCAAACCUGGGAGUAGGAACUAGAAGCCCUACAUGUCCUGAUUCCAAGGCAAUAAUCAUAUUAUAUAAAGGGAAACCAAUAUUUAUGCCAUCUCCUCCUCCUCCAACAGUUACAACAGAAGGCAGCACACAGCCCUUGGAAGACCCAGUCUUACCUGACAGCUGUGCUCGGAGUGUGCCUGCUUAAUGGGGCCCUUCCAAAGACCAGGGCUUGUGGCCGCCUUUGUGAAAUCCCACCAACUGGGUUGGUUCCCCUCUCUUACCUGAUGUCCCUGCUCCUGGGCAGCUGCAGCAUCCCUCAGCCGUGUUGGUCCAGCGCCCACGCAGAAUUGCCAGCCGCAUCACCAAGCUGUUCACCUGAAAGUAACUUUCCAGUGCCUGUACCCAUGUAAUGAGGGAAAGUAAAGGGACUGAAACUGGCACCAAGGUGUAAGGUGGGAGCACCGCUGCUUCUUUGGGCAGAAGUACCAGAUUUGGGGCCGGGUCUGUGAGCUUUUGGGCUAACCCCGAGAAGCCUGAGAACAAACUUUGCUUUCAGUACAUCAGAACACCAUGCUCAAGUCAGAGGAAAGUUUUUUUUGCUUCCUUCAGUUUAGUGUCUCCUGUAAAGCUGAUUCCCACAAAUCAAGAAAAGUAUAGCAUUUUUAAAACAAAACAUUUGUUAACUAAGGAUUUCCUGGAUUUUUCUGCUUUCUUAUUUACACUGUGAUCUGGACACUGUGAAACCACUGUUUAACUUCCAGUAUUAUUUAUGGAAGCCAGGCUGUUGCUGGUUCCAGCCCUUACAGAGAACUUUCAGUUUGCAGUUUCAGUACCAGGUGCACAACCCUGGCUUCAGUUAAUCAGCUGAAAAGUAACACACCGUAAGUACGCAACCCUCUGGAGCCCUGUCUGAAGCUCCACAGGUAGGGCCUUUUUGCAGGCUGUAAGCUACCUCAGUAGUCGGGGUCCCAAAUCAAGAAAGCUCCACGUCAGUGAGAUCAGAACUUGGGAUUGUCCAGCCUUUUUGAUGCAGCAGAGGUAGGUACUAGUUUGGAAGCGUUCCUAUUGUGCACAGAGAGAAAUUUGAAAUUUUACUAGCUCACUUAUCAAUACAAAAGACUUCAUGCCUGAGCACAGAAACAGAUUUUAGGAAAUGAACCAUUUUUAUGAGACUUUGCAUGUUACAACUACUGAUCAAAACUCUUCAAUUCACAAUAGAAAGAAACAGGCAAGGAAUAAUGAUUUAAGCAAACUGGAUCCAGCUUCUGUGCUGUCGGCGUGACUACGCUGACUUACAACCAUGGUGAAAAAAUCAGUUUGAAGUGUGACCUCCCCCCAGCAUAUGGCCCUGGGUGUGCAUGCUGCAGCAUUAUGUGCUACCUUUCACAGCUGCAUAAACUAAGUGCAAAGUAGUUUGAAAUUGUUAGAAAAACAGAAAUCAAGAUUUUUAAUUAUUUUGCAUGGGUAAAAACGACCAUGUGUAUGGUACAAAGCAGUACAGAAUCAGGUCAAUGACGUUCACGUGACUGCUAUCUGAGCGAGGUUGUUAAUGAUUGCACAAUAGGGAGCUUUAACGAACAGAAAAGGAUGAGAGAGAGCAACAAUAAGUAACUUAUUGAAAACUCAGUUCGGGUGCUCCUUUACCUUACAGUUCUCCUGUCCGACACCUGCAGCUUUCUGUCACCUGGCAGAAGACCUGGCAUCAUUGCACAAACUUCACCAUCACACCAACAUCAGUUACAGCCAUCAGAAGUCUUCUAGGAUGACAGAUAAAGGUUAGAGCCUGCUGAUGACCCAAGUGGAUGUCAGUAGGAUGGAAUACAAUUACUUUCAAAUGCUUUUUUGAAAACCUGGGGAAACACAUCCCCAAAGUCUUUAUUUAAAAGUAUUAAGGCUACAAAAUCAAACACUUGCUCAAAUUAGAAAAUGCUGGGUUAGAAAAAGAAGCCCGGAAUCACGUAAUUAAAGAUUACUUUAGGGUACAUGCAUGGAAAGGCAACCUUUCUUCUGGCAUUUUCUAACUUCAGUGUGCUUGCAAAUUAUUCAUAUUUUGGCAAAGAUGUUGGAUAUGUAAAAUGUAUAUAUUAUAUAUAGAACCGUAUUUAUCUCUGAUAUAUUUUUGUCUCAUAAAUGCAGUUUCCUGUUUCCAUGUUAGAAAUUACAACAUUAACAUAUUCAGAUGCCAGUUGCUGGAUUUAUUUGCUUCUUGAUCAUCCAAAUGCUGAGCCUGGAUGUGCUCAGCCUCUCCAUACUUCAGUCUUAUCUAGCACUUUUUCUAAGCCACCCAGAUAAAUUAUCUCAAUGUCCUGAGGUAAAGUGAUUCUCUUGUCCAGGGUGUCUGGAUUGU